AGUCUUAUAUUCAAUGAAUGAUAAUAGAAUGCAAUUCUAUAGGAGUAAAUUAGGUUUACUAAGACUU
rnacentral:tRNA from 2 species